UACACAUGCAAGUCGAACGAGCGAGAGAGAGCUUGCUUUCUCGAGCGAGUGGCGAACGGGUGAGUAACGCGUGAGGAACCUGCCUCAAAGAGGGGGACAACAGUUGGAAACGACUGCUAAUACCGCAUAAGCCCACGGUGCCGCAUGGCACAGAGGGAAAAGGAGUAAUCCGCUUUGAGAUGGCCUCGCGUCCGAUUAGCUAGUUGGUGAGGUAACGGCCCACCAAGGCGACGAUCGGUAGCCGGACUGAGAGGUUGAACGGCCACAUUGGGACUGAGACACGGCCCAGACUCCUACGGGAGGCAGCAGUGGGGAAUAUUGCACAAUGGGGGAAACCCUGAUGCAGCGACGCCGCGUGGAGGAAGAAGGUCUUCGGAUUGUAAACUCCUGUUGUUGGGGAAGAUAAUGACGGUACCCAACAAGGAAGUGACGGCUAACUACGUGCCAGCAGCCGCGGUAAAACGUAGGUCACAAGCGUUGUCCGGAAUUACUGGGUGUAAAGGGAGCGCAGGCGGGAAGACAAGUUGGAAGUGAAAUCUAUGGGCUCAACCCAUAAACUGCUUUCAAAACUGUUUUUCUUGAGUAGUGCAGAGGUAGGCGGAAUUCCCGGUGUAGCGGUGGAAUGCGUAGAUAUCGGGAGGAACACCAGUGGCGAAGGCGGCCUACUGGGCACCAACUGACGCUGAGGCUCGAAAGUGUGGGUAGCAAACAGGAUUAGAUACCCUGGUAGUCCACACCGUAAACGAUGAUUACUAGGUGUUGGAGGAUU
rnacentral:rRNA from 1 species